rnacentral:rRNA from 1 species
UACGUAGGUGGCAAGCGUUGUCCGGAUUUAUUGGGUUUAAAGGGUGCGUAGGCGGCCUUAUAAGUCAGUGCUGAAAUAUCCCGGCUUAACCGGGAGGGUGGCAUUGAUACUGUAGGGCUUGAGUGUAGUCGAGGUAGGCGGAAUUGACGGUGUAGCGGUGAAAUGCUUAGAUAUCGUCAAGAACACCGAUAGUGUAGACAGCUUACUAGGCUGCAACUGACGCUGAGGCACGAAAGUGUGGGGAUCAAACAGG